CCUACGGGAGGCAGCAGUGGGGAAUAUUGGACAAUGGGCGAAAGCCUGAUCCAGCCAUGCCGCGUGUGUGAAGAAGGCCUCUUGGUUGUAAAGCACUUUAAGCGAGGAGGAGGCUACUUGGAUUAAUACUCUAGGAUAGUGGACGUUACUCGCAGAAUAAGCACCGGCUAACUCUGUGCCAGCAGCCGCGGUAAUACAGAGGGUGCGAGCGUUAAUCGGAUUUACUGGGCGUAAAGCGUGCGUAGGCGGCUUCUUAAGUCGGAUGUGAAAUCCCUGAGCUUAACUUAGGAAUUGCAUUCGAUACUGGGAAGCUAGAGUAUGGGAGAGGAUGGUAGAAUUCCAGGUGUAGCGGUGAAAUGCGUAGAGAUCUGGAGGAAUACCGAUGGCGAAGGCAGCCAUCUGGCCUAAUACUGACGCUGAGGUACGAAAGCAUGGGGAGCAAACAGGAUUAGAUACCCUGGUAG
rnacentral:rRNA from 1 species